AUGAUUUUUUGUUUGAUUUUCUUUUUGUUGUUGUUGUUUUUUUUUUCUUUCUGCAUUAUCUGCAUCCCCCCACCACCUUCUUCCUUUUGGAUGGGCAAGUAUAUGUCUGCAUGUUGCCUGUGGAGCAGAGCCACUCUUCCACCUGGUCAGGUAUUGUUUGCUCUGCAGACUGAGUCCAGGCCAAAGCAGCCCCUGUCCCUCUCUGGGCAGAUGUGUGUUGACAGAAGGAGCCCACGGUCUGGGGGUGCACAGCCAGCUGUCCCUCAACACCUGGGAGCAGCAGGUCCCCAUAGCUUCAGGAGGGACAAAGAUGAGCUGUGAGGUAGGGGGAGCAAGCAGGAGAACAAAUCCUUGCUGCAAAUACAGUUAGUUUUUCUACCCUUAAGCCAAGCGGUAAGAUAAAAGACCCCGCUCAGCUACCCUUGUUCAAGAGGCAUUUGGAUAAUGCCCUGAAUAUGCUUUAAUUUCUGGUUAUUUUUUAAGUGGUCUGGCAGUUGGACUCGAUUUUUGUAGAUCUCUUCCAACUGAACUAUCCUAUCCUAUUCUAUUCCUUACAGUUUUUCAGCUGCUGUCACCAACUCAAGCACCAGAUGUCUGCACUGGAAAGAAAAAUGAAAUAUAGCCUCCAGAAAAGAAGUUGGGAAAAGGAAAGGAGAACCAAGUGGCAGGGAGGGGAAGUGCAAAGGACCUCAAAGGGCCUGGAAAGUGAAGUUCGUCGAGUUCCAGAUAGCCUUUGUGUAGGAUGUGGUAGUGGCAGUACACAUUUGGCAUCAAUAUUAGGGGGUACUGUUCAUGUUAUUUACCCUGGCAGAUGGAGCACUGUGCUCCCCCAGUCUUCAAGGUCUGGAGUUAACCUCCACCUCUGACCCUUGGGGCCUAUAGGCACACACAUAUGUUUAAAAAAUUUCUGAAUGAACUGCAUGAACGAAAAGGUAAAAUAUAAUUUAAUUACAAUCUUAAGUACACUUCUAUCUGUACUGCUGUAAGAAAUGCUCUCAAAUUUGUUGAGUUAAAGAAAUAGACAGGUCCCCCACACCCCCACACUGUCAAUUAAAAAGUUGCAGUCCAAAUGCAUGGUUUUUUUUUAUGUUGGUGCUGUCUCUGCUUCUGUGACCUCCUGUAGGACACAGAUAGCCAGCUGUUUGUUUAUUCACAUGGGUCCAGCGAGACAUUUUUACCAUAUGUUCCUCUCGCUUAUUUCUGUUUUUUUUUUUUUGUUUUUUUUUUUUUUUUUUUUUUUUUUUUUU
rnacentral:lncRNA from 1 species